rnacentral:rRNA from 1 species
AUGGCGGCGUCGUGCCACGACGUGGACGUGCCGGGGAAGCCGACGGAGACGGGCACGGCGCUCCUGGAGGCGGCGACGGGCGCCAUCCAGGGGUUCGCCCCGAUCAACCAGAUCCACCAGCACCUCUGCGCCUUCCAUUUCUACGGGGACGACAUGACGCGACAGGUGGAGGCGCACCACUUCUGCGCGCACCUCAACGAGGACGUGCGGCAGUGCCUCGUCUUUGACGGGCCCGACGCCGGUGCGCGCCUCAUCGGCGUCGAGUACAUCGUCACCGAGGAGCUGUUCCUCACGCUGCCCGACGAGGAGAAGCCGCUGUGGCACACUCACGAGUUCGAGGUCAAGGGCGGCAUGCUCUUUAUGCCCGGCGUCCCCGGCGUCGUCGAGCGCCGCGACCUCGAGCAGGUGGCAAAGACGUACGGCAAGACCGUCCACUUCUGGCAGGUCGACCGCGGCGACGCCCUCCCGCUCGGCCUCCCGCAGAUCAUGAUGGCGCUCACCCGCGAGGGCCAGCUCCGGCAGGACCUCGCCGACUGUGUGGAGAAGAAGUUCAGCGUGUCGUUCCAGAAGGAGAGGGAGAACCGGGCGUACAUGAGCGGGCCGGCGCACGGCAUCCACCCGCUGGCCAACGCUGCUGGGAAGGGCUUGAAGACGGAGAUCCGCGAGGUCGAUCUUCCGGCUGCCAAUACUGGAGCCAGGAUUUUCACCUGA